rnacentral:lncRNA from 1 species
CUAGGCCUUACCACUCUCUGUGUGUGUUCUGGCAUGCUGGGAGGUCAUGUCUUCUAUAAACAUGUGAGGUGACCACUCUUGGCAUUCUGCAGUCUGGCGCAUUGACAAUCUGGUAGCUGGAUAUGGAUGAAGAACCUGUGGAGAGGGGACAGAAAAGGUAUGAGACAUGGUCCAGGAAUGGAGUCCUGUGAGAAGACUUCUGAGUGCUUGUGAGAAUAUUCCUAAGAGUCCGAUGGCCUUAUGACCAAAGUUUCUUCAAGAUCCCAAAUUGUCCAUGGACUGUGUUUUCAUGCUCUUUUCCUGGUGUUUUGGAAUGAGUUUACUUCAGAUUGCUCAUUAUUGCUUCCUGUUGAAAUUUAACUAAGGUUUAAACUACCCUUUAUAUGCCUUUAUGGAAAAACAUAAUUUGGCAACUUGUAGCUAGUUCUUGUGAUUGUACACAGCUUGAACUCAGGAGAAUUAUAUAUUGAACUUGAGAGUGAUUCCAAUAUCUGAGGCUUUGAAAGAAAAUGGCUUUAGUAUAAGCCUUUAAUACACGUUAUGUUGGGCUCCAUUCUCCUAGGUCCUACUGCCUGUAGAGCAGUGGCAGACAGGUGUGAAUAAACUGGGGAAACAAAGCCCAGAGGCAGGAGGAACUUAAGGUUACAUCAUAUUUUAAAUUGAGCUCCUUGAAAACACACAGGUAUUAUAUUUUCAAUAUUAAUGGUACUAGGGCUGCACUAUCAAU